GAUGAACGCUGGCGGCGUGCCUAAUACAUGCAAGUAGAACGCUGAAGGAGGAGCUUGCUCUUCUGGAUGAGUUGCGAACGGGUGAGUAACGCGUAGGUAACAUGCCUGGUAGCGGGGGAUAACUAUUGGAAACGAUAGCUAAUACCGCAUGACAACAGUUAUUGCAUGAUAACUGUUUAAAAGGGGCAACUGCUCCACUACCAGAUGGACCUGCGUUGUAUUAGCUAGUUGGUGAGGUAACGGCUCACCAAGGCGACGAUACAUAGCCGACCUGAGAGGGUGAUCGGCCACACUGGGACUGAGACACGGCCCAGACUCCUACGGGAGGCAGCAGUAGGGAAUCUUCGGCAAUGGACGGAAGUCUGACCGAGCAACGCCGCGUGAGUGAAGAAGGUUUUCGGAUCGUAAAGCUCUGUUGUAAGAGAAGAACGAGUGUGAGAGUGGAAAGUUCACACUGUGACGGUAUCUUACCAGAAAGGGACGGCUAACUACGUG
rnacentral:rRNA from 1 species